rnacentral:rRNA from 1 species
AACGAACGCUGGCGGCAUGCCUAACACAUGCAAGUCGAACGAGACCUUCGGGUCUAGUGGCGCACGGGUGCGUAACGCGUGGGAACUUGCCCUUAGGUUCGGAAUAACUCACCGAAAGGGGUGCUAAUACCGGAUAAUGUCUUCGGGCCAAAGAUUUAUCGCCUUUGGAUGGGCCCGCGUUGGAUUAGCUAGUUGGUAGGGUAAAAGCCUACCAAGGCGACGAUCCAUAGCUGGUCUGAGAGGAUGAUCAGCCACACUGGGACUGAGACACGGCCCAGACUCCUACGGGAGGCAGCAGUGGGGAAUAUUGGGCAAUGGGCGAAAGCCUGAUCCAGCCAUGCCGCGUGAGUGAUGAAGGCCUUAGGAUUGUAAAUCUCUUUUACCCGGGAUGAUAAUGACGGUACCGGGAGAAUAAGCUCCGGCUAACUCCGUG